rnacentral:tRNA from 2 species
GGGUAGGUACCGAAGUGGCCAAACGGGGCGGACUGUAAAUCCGCUGGCUUACGCCUUCAGUGGUUCGAAUCCACUCCUGCCCACCA